GCAAGUCGAACGAACGGAGGAAGAGCUUGCUCUUCCAAAGUUAGUGGCGGACGGGUGAGUAACACGUGGGCAACCUGCCUGUAAGUUGGGGAUAACUCCGGGAAACCGGGGCUAAUACCGAAUGAUAAAGUGUGGCGCAUGCCACGCUUUUGAAAGAUGGUUUCGGCUAUCGCUUACAGAUGGGCCCGCGGUGCAUUAGCUAGUUGGUAGGGUAAUGGCCUACCAAGGCAACGAUGCAUAGCCGACCUGAGAGGG
rnacentral:rRNA from 1 species